rnacentral:rRNA from 1 species
UACAGAGGUCUCAAGCGUUGUUCGGAUUCAUUGGGCGUAAAGGGUGUGUAGGCGGCCCGGUAAGUCCGCUGUAAAAGUCAAAGGCUCAACCUUUGAAUGUCAGUGGAUACUGCCGGGCUAGAGUCCGGAAGAGGCGAGUGGAACUCCUGGUGUAGCGGUGGAAUGCGCAGAUAUCAGGAGGAACACCGAUGGCGAAGGCAGGUCUCUGGGCCAUAACUGACGCUGAGAAGCGAAAGCAUGGGGAGCGAACAGG